AACGAACGCUGGCGGCAUGCCUAACACAUGCAAGUCGAACGAGAUCUUCGGGUCUAGUGGCGCACGGGUGCGUAGCGCGUGGGAAUCUGCCCUUUGGUUCGGAAUAACAGUUGGAAACGACUGCUAAUACCGGAUGAUGACGAAAGUCCAAAGAUUUAUCGCCAGAGGAUGAGCCCGCGUAGGAUUAGCUAGUUGGUGUGGUAAAGGCGCACCAAGGCGACGAUCCUUAGCUGGUCUGAGAGGAUGAUCAGCCACACUGGGACUGAGACACGGCCCAGACUCCUACGGGAGGCAGCAGUGGGGAAUAUUGGACAAUGGGCGAAAGCCUGAUCCAGCAAUGCCGCGUGAGUGAUGAAGGCCUUAGGGUUGUAAAGCUCUUCUACCCGGGAUGAUAAUGACAGUACCGGGAGAAUAAGCUCCGGCUAACUCCGUGCCAGCCGCCGCAGUAA
rnacentral:rRNA from 1 species